rnacentral:tRNA from 1 species
GCGCCCGUAGCUCAGCUGGAUAGAGCGGCGGCCUCCGGAGCCGCAGGUCAUGGGUUCGAAUCCCGUCGGGCGUACCA